rnacentral:rRNA from 1 species
AAUCAACGCUGGCGGCGUGCCUAACACAUGCAAGUCGAACGCGAAAGCCCCGCAAGGGGUAAGUAGAGUGGCAAACGGGUGAGUAACACGUGGGUGACCUGCCUUCGAGUGGGGGAUAACGUCCCGAAAGGGACGCUAAUACCGCAUGACAUCCUGCUCUUGGACGAGCGGAGAUCAAAGCUGGGGAUCGCAAGACCUGGCGCUUGAAGAGGGGCCCGCGUCUGAUUAGCUAGUUGGUGAGGUAACGGCUCACCAAGGCGACGAUCAGUAUCCGGCCUGAGAGGGCGGACGGACACACUGGGACUGAGACACGGCCCAGACUCCUACGGGAGGCAGCAGUGGGGAAUUGUUCGCAAUGGGCGCAAGCCUGACGACGCAACGCCGCGUGGAGGAUGAAGAUCUUCGGGUCGUAAACUCCUGUCGAGCGGGAAGAACGUUUCGCGGAUGAAUAAGCCGCGGAAGUGACGGUACCGCUAAAG